GACGAACGCUGGCGGCGUGCUUAACACAUGCAAGUCGAACGGUGAAGCGCCUUCCUUUUUGGUGGGUGUGGAUGAGUGGCGAACGGGUGAGUAACACGUGAGUAACCUGCCCCCUUCUUCUGGAUAACCGCAUGAAAGUGUGGCUAAUACGGGAUAUUCUGGGUCUGUCGCAUGAUGGGUCUGGGAAAGAUAUUGUUUCGGUGGGGGAUGGGCUCGCGGCCUAUCAGCUUGUUGGUGGGGUGAUGGCCUACCAAGGCGGUGACGGGUAGCCGGCCUGAGAGGGUGGACGGUCACGCUGGGACUGAGACACGGCCCAGACUCCUACGGGAGGCGGCAGUGGGGAAUAUUGCACAAUGGGCGCAAGCCUGAUGCAGCGACGCCGCGUGAGGGAUGGAGGCCUUCGGGUUGUGAACCUCUUUCGCCAGUGAAGCAGGCCUGCCUCGUUUGUGGGUGGGUUGACGGUAGCUGGAUAAGAAGCGCCGGCUAACUACGUG
rnacentral:rRNA from 1 species